rnacentral:lncRNA from 1 species
UGCUCUCCAAUCAUUGCUAGCAACUAAUAAGAAAAAGUAGAAUAAAAGUUAAAACCUCAAGUUUCACCCUGAUUGCUUUCUUCAUAUAAACCAUUUAACCAAACAUAUUGCUCUAUAGACCUAAAAAUAUUGUUUGGUAAAAGACUAAAAGGUGUGAUAUGUGGCUCAGGGUGUGAUAUGUUUGGUAAAAGGUAUGAUAUGUUGGUCCACAAUAUUCUUAGCAUAGCAUAGGUG